rnacentral:misc_RNA from 1 species
UCCGGUUUGGCACCGGCAGUCCCUCUAGAGUCCCCGGCAUAACCCGCUGGCAACUAGGGACAAGGGUUUCGCUCGUUAAGGGACUUAACCCGACAUCUCACGACACGAGCUGACGACAACCAUGCACCACCUGUGCAGGGCCCCGAAGGACACCGUAUCUCUACGGCUUUUCCCUGCAUGUCAAGCCUUGGUAAGGUUCUUCGCGUUGCGUCGAAUUAAACCACAUGCUCCGCUGCUUGUGCGGGCCCCCGUCAAUUCCUUUGAGUUUUAGCCUUGCGGCCGUACUCCCCAGGCGGGGUGCUUAAUGCGUUAGCUGCGGCACGGACGGAGUCGACACCGCCCACACCUAGCACCCAUCGUUUACGGCGUGGACUAC